rnacentral:tRNA from 1 species
UCCAUGGUGGCUUAGAUGGUAAAGCGUCUGCCUACAAGGCGGGAGACCCAGGUUCGAUCCCUGGGUCGGGAA